CAUAAUUUCAUGAUGGAGAGUUUGAUCCUGGCUCAGGACGAACGCUGGCGGCGUGGAUUAGGCAUGCAAGUCGAACGGUAGAGUUCCUUCGGGGACUUGAGAGUGGCGAACGGGUGAGUAACGCGUAGGUUAUCUACCCUCAAAUUGGGGACAACCCAGGGAAACUUGGGCUAAUACCGAAUGAGAGCAUCUGU
rnacentral:rRNA from 1 species